rnacentral:rRNA from 1 species
UACAGAGGUCUCAAGCGUUGUUCGGAUUCAUUGGGCGUAAAGGGUGCGCAGGUGGCGCCGUAAGUCAGGUGUGAAAUUUCGGAGCUUAACUCCGAAACUGCAUUUGAUACUGCGGUGCUUGAGGACUGGAGAGGAGACUGGAAUUUACGGUGUAGCAGUGAAAUGCGUAGAGAUCGUAAGGAAGACCAGUGGCGAAGGCGGGUCUCUGGACAGUUCCUGACACUGAGGCACGAAGGCCAGGGGAGCAAACGGG